AUUGCAGUUUGGAUCAAAGGAAGGGUCAUUGAGCUUCACCUUCACCAAGGUCACAGUCUCCACUGCAAUACAAAGCGGAGCUCGUUUCUGGUUUGACUGGAUUUCCGAUAUCUGGACAGCCUUACAUUUGGAAGAAGCCAAAAGAUGCCCUUAACCAAAAAUUGUAUGCGGCCAGCUGUUAAACACAGGAAUACACAAUGGUUCGAUCCCCAGGUGGGGCGGUCCUGGUCCUUUCUGUGUGAAGUUUGCAUGUUCUCUCCGUGUCUGCGUGGGUUUUCUUCCGGGAGCUCCGGUUUCCUCCCACAGUCCAAAGACAUGCAAGUGAGGUGAACUUGUACAAACACAAUACAAAAAUUGUCUAUCACUGUGUUUGACAUUAAACUUGUGAACUGAUGAAUCUUGUGUAAUGAGUAACUACAGUUUCUGUCAUUAAUGUAACCAGUGUAAAACAUGACGUUAAAAUCCUAAUAAAUAAAUAAAUAAACUUUUA